GAUGAACGCUGGCGACAGGCUUAACACAUGCAAGUCGAGGGGCAGCACAGGUAGCAAUACCGGGUGGCGACCGGCGCACGGGUGAGUAACGCGUAUGCAACUUACCUAUCAGAGGGGGAUAACCCGGCGAAAGUCGGACUAAUACCGCAUGAAGCAGGGGUCCCGCAUGGGGAUAUUUGCUAAAGAUUCAUCGCUGAUAGAUAGGCAUGCGUUCCAUUAGGCAGUUGGCGGGUAACGGCCCACAACCGCGAUGGAUAGGGGUUCUGAGAGGAAGGUCCCCCCACAUUGGACUGAGACACGGACCAAACUCCUACGGGAGCAGCAGUGA
rnacentral:rRNA from 1 species